CGGUGCCGCCCGGCCGUGCUCUCAGCUGGGCUGCCCCUAGCACUGCGACAGCCUUCAGGGUUCGUGUGUAAAAUGCAGGAUAAGGCAGAACCACCUUGUUCAUGUGGCAGAGGGUUGGUGCACAUGCUUAUGUUACCCGUACAUCUUUUUUGGAGGGUUCAGCUACUGGCAUCGUGGCAUUGCUCCACAGCAGAAGACUUAAAAAAGUGUGAUGGAGAGGAGAUUUUCAUUGGUCCCAAGUACAUUGUACAUUAAGCACAUCAUGGAAGGACCAUCACAAGUAGAAGAAUAUUUGGUACACACAAGUGGAUUUUCCUGAAAGCUGUACUGGCGUGAGCAGUUUCUAGCAUUGACAAUGUGGCACAUCCUGAAGAAAGCUUUCCUUGUAACAGGAAAUAAAACAGAGGAAAAGCCUGUUUUAUAGAAAACAAGUAGGAACAAGUGCUUUUGGCUUAUUCAGUGAUGAAUUGGAGCACUUUGUUAGAACUGCCUGACAAAUAUGGAUCAUGUAACCAGAAGGAAGUGUAACACCUGAAGAGAUAUUGUGGCUUGGAAUGAGAUGCCAUGCUUUUAAAAUCCUGCUAAAACAGUUGCCAUUUUGUUCAGUAGAUACUGUCUCUGCAUAUUUAAAACACCGUCUUUCCAAAAUACUGAGCUGUCUUCUGUAGGAAGUGUAGCAGUAAUAUUAGGGAAAGGAGUUCAUGGAAAACCCCUUGAUUUUUUUACCCUUUUUAAAAUAUCAAAUGGGUACACAGUCUUGCAGAUAUUAGAGAUCUGUGAUAACUUGGGAGUGGAGCUCACAGGCAUGCCCUGUAAAGACAGGGUGAAAGCAAAGAAAAAGGCAAUGUCUACAGCUUGCAUCACUGUAUCUAGUGAGGGAGUGAGGAGUUGAGGUUUUAUGGACUGCCCUUUCAGCAGGAGAAGACUACAACCACAACAGUGGAACUGCCUUUUGAGGAAUAUACUGGCAACAGUACCGCUUGCUCUCUGGGGGAAGGAGGUUGGUAGUGGGAGAAGAGAGAUACAUACAUUGGAACUUGGGCUUUUGUCUUGGUUUGAAAAGACAGGUGUCUGCUAAGGAGGGCAGGAGUCUCCCUUGAAAUGGAAAUUAAGGGGCUUUCAGGCAAAGAUAUGGGAGUAGGAAUAAGAGUUCUUUAUUAGGAAAAAUUAAAAAUGUAGAUGCAGUAAUACAGACCAAUGCUGAACAGCUGCAGCACCUAGCUAGCCAAAGGCAUCUCUGGGGUGAAAAACGCCACGGCUGCCGCCUUUGGUCCAGAUGAAGCCAGGCAGGACACACCCCGAAACAUUCGGGGCUUAAUAUUUAAUAUAGUGGCGCCAAAUGUGGGCGUUUUUCACCCCAGAGAUGCCUUUGGCUAGCUAGGUGCUGCAGCUGGGCGCUCAGAACAAGUCCAGGCAAAAUAGGAACUCAGUUUACCUUUGGAAAAGGUUCAGGCGGUGAAGAGAAAAGGAGCGGGUUCUGCCGUGUAGCUUAGAUCCAGAGUUUAUCGUAGCAUGGUAGACCUGAAUGUGGUAUCAGCUCCAGCCAGACAGGCAGAGACAGAACCACGGCAGAGACCCCGACCACAUGGUCUCGUGUCCUUUUUAAGCCCCGGGGACAGGGCGAGGGGACGGACAGGUGAGGGCCAACCAGGUGUGAGCAGGGGAAGGGUCAGGGGAUGUGGACACUAGGACAAACCAAUGAGCCCAGACCUGGGGGGCAUCUGCCAAUCACACGACGCCUUGCUGGAAGGUACCAGGCAGGAGGGCACAGGGGGAGGGGGAAAGGUUGGCAUCCUUGAGGGGGAUGGGAUAGGUGAGACAGGAAAUAGCGACACUGCAACACUGAACGAGUCAGAAUACAGCCUGACAACCUUGUUUGGUCAGGGUGUUGGCAGCAGUCUGAUUAAAUGGUGGCUGCAGUGCUCCUGGAGUAGCAAGUAUGGUUCUGUUGGAGCAGUGAUCCUGUAGAAGGCUACUGUUUUCCUCCGAAGGUCCAGUGGUGGUGUAGAUGGGCAUGGUCUUCCUCUGGGAAUCCAGUGGGGAAGAAAGCUGCUCCUCUGGGAAUCCAGUGGGAGAAGGCUGACUGCGGUGUUCCAAAUCUCAGAUUAUAUCCAGGUAGAAAUGCUUGGCUCCUCCCUCUGGGUGGAGCAUCUUGCAAUGGGAUGAUGUCAUUUUAUCAGUCAUGCAGUGAGACCCAAAGGCCCAUUAACAGAUAAUGUCUUCCUGGAGGGAGGAUUGGUUGUGGAAGAGAUAAAGAAAACUGCCCAGUUAACAGAACAUAACUGUCCCAGGUCUAACAGAUGGCAAAUAGAAUACACACCCUCAGCUACAUCUUCUAACCUAAGAUGGCUUUGAAAAGUCACUUGACAAGAGCUGGUGCUGUAAUGACAGUAGCAGCAGAUUUGCUCUUUUCAGCAAGCUGUCCCUUCCACAGAGAAUUACAGGUUCAUAAUUUGGUCACCAAGUAAAUGUAAAGACAACUCAUGGUGUACAUCAGGUGAAUUUGGCCUUGAAGCAUGACUUUCAAGCCUCAUUGAAAGGAAUUCUUUAUAAUAGCAGAAAAAUGACAAUAGCAUAAUUAAAAAUUCAUAGACCUAUUACUGGAUCAUUUUGAAAUUGUCAAAAAUAUAUAGACCCUAUAGCUCAUGGGGUUUACCUGGUCAUCAAUGACAAAUUCUAUGUAAAAUCCAUUUUCUGUCAAAGUAGUAUGAAGUAUAAACACUACCAGGAACAGCAUAUAAAGCAUUGGAAAUGUCAAAACUAACUAUCCAUCAUGCUACUGAAGUGGAUGCUAAGGAUCUGACUGAACUCCAGGAGUGCAUUGGUUCGCUGAGCAUCUCUUAUGGUUUGCUUAUUAAGCACCGACCAGCUACUUUGGCUAAAGGCUGCUCCUUUUGAGCAAGGAAUAGUAAAUCAGUCUAUUGAAUAUCAAAAUCUGCAGAAAUAAACUAGAAAACAGCUUUCUCUUCAUUGCUUUCAAUAUUGUUUCUGUUAAGAAAUGUUACUGAGAAUGGUGCGUUUUUUCAUGUGCCAUGCUUUGUACAUGCUUUUGAAUAAAGAUGAGGAUGUUAAAGUCA